rnacentral:rRNA from 1 species
GAUAAACGCUGGCGGCGUGCUUAACACAUGCAAGUCGAACGGAGUACUUCUCCCGAGACUGAGGAAGCUUGCUUCCAAAGAAUCAUUUGAAGUACUUAGUGGCGGACGGGUGAGUAACGCGUGGGUAACCUGCCUCACACAGGGGGAUAACAGUUGGAAACGACUGUUAAUACCGCAUAAGCGCACAGUAUCGCAUGAUACAGUGUGAAAAACUCCGGUGGUGUGAGAUGGACCCGCGUCUGAUUAGCUAGUUGGUGAGGUAACGGCCCACCAAGGCGACGAUCAGUAGCCGGCCUGAGAGGGUGUACGGCCACAUUGGGACUGAGACACGGCCCAAACUCCUACGGGAGGCAGCAGUGGGGAAUAUUGCACAAUGGGGGAAACCCUGAUGCAGCGACGCCGCGUGAGUGAUGAAGUAUCUCGGUAUGUAAAGCUUCUAUCAGCAGGGAAGAUACAUGACGGA